CCUACGGGAGGCAGCAGUGAGGAAUAUUGGUCAAUGGACGAGAGUCUGAACCAGCCAAGUAGCGUGAAAGAUGACUGCCCUAUGGGUUGUAAACUUCUUUUAUAUGGGAAUAAAACGUUCCACGUGUGGGAUUUUGUAUGUACCAUAUGAAUAAGGAUCGGCUAACUCCGUGCCAGCAGCCGCGGUAAUACGGAGGAUCCGAGCGUUAUCCGGAUUUAUUGGGUUUAAAGGGAGCGUAGGUGGAUUGUUAAGUCAGUUGUGAAAGUUUGAGGCUCAACCGUAAAAUUGCAGUUGAAACUGGCAGUCUUGAGUACAGUAGAGGUGGGCGGAAUUCGUGGUGUAGCGGUGAAAUGCUUAGAUAUCACGAAGAACUCCGAUUGCGAAGGCAGUUCACUGGACUGCAACUGACACUGAGGCUCGAAAGUGUGGGUAUCAAACAGGAUUAGAGACCCCAGUAGUC
rnacentral:rRNA from 1 species